rnacentral:lncRNA from 1 species
UGUUAGUAUAAUUUUUAACUUUGAAAAGGGAAAACUUUAAAAAAAUAUCUUUGAGGAAAAGUUAUCCAAUUAAAUAAUACAAAGCUUUAGAAAAUGAAACUCCUUAGCUGAAAGCUGCUGAUGCAUCCAUGUCUUUAGAGUUUCCCUUCUUGUUCUCAAGGAAGGCUAGAUAUUGCCCACAUUUUGUGCACGAUAUCUAGAUUCUCAAAAAUUGUCUGUCUCAUAAUCCCUGGGGAGAACUGCCUUGUUAGUAGUGUUUUAUAUUUGUAAGACAAGUUAGAGUAAUCCCAGUUGAAUAAUGGUAAAAUUACCGACUUUGACCUUGACUCUUCACACAUUGUCUCUUAAAAAGUUUAAAUCAGCCCUUGAAAACAAAUUGAAAACAAAACUGGAGAGUUUUCCUCUAGGCAUUUGAAAGACUGACAAUCAUUUUUUAUCCCUUCAAUCUAAGUGAAGUCUCAUGGAAAUGGUUAGAGCAGCAAAAUGUGUUCUAUAAUUUGCUAUUCAUAAAAAUAUAAAGUGGCACAUUAAGACUUUUUGUAGACUCCACCGCCAACUUAAAAAAUGGAUACUUCAAAAUUGCCCUGAAGUUAUAUGCCAAAUGUGUUUGAAAUUUAUUUUAUUUGUCAUAAAUAUUCAUUUGAAUUAAAGCCUUCAAAUGUCAUAUCAAGGAACAUAUUGUAAUUUGUUAAACCAGGACAAAACAAAUGGUUACUAUUUAUGAUGUUUUUAAAAGUUUUUUUUUUUUAAUUUAUUUGGUCUCAGGUUUAUGAGUUACAGAAGAGUAAGGAAUCUUGGGCAUUCGGAAAAAUGGAAAUCUCAGGAGUGGAUAAGUGUGUCAGAUCCUUUCUGCAGCUAGGAAAUCUAGUGACAGCCACAUGCUGCACAAAGUUACAGAUGUCUGCGCUUGUCUCACAUUUGACAAAUGCUCUCAACACACCUGACCUGGGAGCCAACAGGCAUAACCACCCUCCAAGAAAGGAGCACAAAAAAGAUUGCAUCAGAGCAUUGGUUAAACACACUUGCAGUCGCCUAUGCGGGCAUCGUGAGCAGAAGACAAAAUGACAGAUCAUCAGGGGAAGAAGAGUACAUUGAUGUUGACUUUGUCUUUUGGGCAGGCUAACAGAACAGAUGAGUGGAUUUAAUAUAAGACAAAGAACCUCAAAUGUUUGCCCCAUUCCAGGUUGAGCUUUGUCAUGGAUUUCACCAAGGUUCAGCACCAAGGGGUUACUUUGUUCUCAUUAACUUUUGUUCUUACUAAUGUUUUUGACCUUUGAUGUCCGAUCAGAAGAAAAGUAGAAAAUAAGUAAUUUUUACCUGUUCUAAGGGAAGAAAUUCAGAUUUCAUAAGAAAGCACAUUCUUUCCAAGUCCCCUGUGCACCCGUGCAGGGCCUUCAGACAAUUUUCAGACAUAUUUAACCUUCAGAAUUACUUCAGUGCAUUGGGCUCUUUGCUUUUGAGUCUAAGUCCCUUCCUACAGGGCCCGUCAGAGCACUCGAGUCUAAUGCAACUCUGCAUCAACCAGACUGUUUCUUAAUCUGUAUUUUAUUUUUUGAAAACUUAAAUUCAAGGGUGUCUAGAUGGCUCAGUUGGUGAAGUGUCUGCCUUCAGCUCAGGUCAUGAUCUCGGGGUCCAGGGAUGGAGCCCCGAGUCAUGCUUCCUGCUCAGCGGGGAGUCUGCUUCUCCCUCUGCCCCUCACCCUGCUUGCAUUCAUUCUCUCUCACUCACUCUCCCUCUCUGUCUCUCAAAUAAAUAAAACCCUUCAAAAAAAAAAAAAGAAAAG